GAAUUUAUUUCAGUAACGGGGCACUGAAGAAGCAUUAACUGUAGCAUGCAAGUAGGCCUGUAGCAUGCAAGUAGGACUUGAGAGAGGAGAACAAAGGCAGCUUAAAGUGCAGGUGGAAGAAGCGCUCACAGGCUGCAUGGGAUGUAGCUGUGUCCACCCAAAGAGUGACUAAGUCUUAAAGUAGACACCUAAGUGUACACAAAAAUUAGACAAGAUUUUGUAAACCAAGGUAGAUAUGAGCCUCUCACUUGCCCAUUAGUGAGACCCAUAUAGGCAGAGGGAGAAGAA
rnacentral:lncRNA from 1 species